GGGGAUCUAGCUUAGUGGCACAGUGCCUGCCUGACAAGCAUGAGUUCAUAUUUGAUUCCCA
rnacentral:tRNA from 1 species